rnacentral:rRNA from 1 species
UUAGGAAUUUUGGGCAAUGGGCGAAAGCCUGACCCAGCAACGCCGCGUGGGUGAUGAAGGCCCUCGGGUCGUAAAGCCCUUUUCCCAGGGACGAUAGUGACGGUACCUGGGGAAUCAGCCCCGGCUAACUACGUGCCAGCAGCCGCGGUAAUACGUAGGGGGCAAGCGUUGUCCGGAUUUAUUGGGCGUAAAGCGCUCGCAGGUGGUUCGUCGCGUCGUGCGUGAAAGACCCCGGCUCAACUGGGGAGGGUCGUGCGAUACGGGCGAACUGGAGGCCAGUAGGGGGAUGCGGAAUUCCGGGUGUAGUGGUGGAAUGCGUAGAGAUCCGGAGGAACACCAGCGGCGAAGGCGGCAUCCUGGACUGGUCCUGACACUCAGGAGCGAAAGCGUGGGGAGCGAUCCGGAUUAGAUACCCGCGUAGUCC